AUUGAACGCUGGCGGCAUGCUUUACACAUGCAAGUCGAACGGCAGCGCGGGCUUCGGCCUGGCGGCGAGUGGCGAACGGGUGAGUAAUACAUCGGAACGUGCCCAGUAGUGGGGGAUAGCUCGGCGAAAUCCGGAUUAAUACCGCAUACGACCUGAGGGUGAAAGCGGGGGAUCUUCGGACCUCGCGCUAUUGGAGCGGCCGAUGGCAGAUUAGCUAGUUGGUGGGGUAAAGGCCUACCAAGGCGACGAUCUGUAGCUGGUCUGAGAGGACGACCAGCCACACUGGGACUGAGACACGGCCCAGACUCCUACGGGAGGCAGCAGUGGGGAAUUCUGGACAAUGGGCGAAAGCCUGAUCCAGCAAUGCCGCGUGUGUGAUGAAGGCCUUCGGGUUGUAAAGCACUUUUGGCGGGAACGAAAAGGACUGUGCCAAUACCACGGUUCGAUGACGGUACCCGCAGAAUAAGCACCGGCUAACUACGUG
rnacentral:rRNA from 1 species